rnacentral:rRNA from 1 species
UGCUCAGUAACACGUGGAUAACCUACCCUUAGGACCGGAAUAACCCCGGGAAACUGGGGAUAAUACCGGAUAAGCCAUAGACGCUGGAAUGCCCUAUGGUUCAAAGCUCCGGCGCCUAAGGAUGGAUCUGCGGUCUAUCAGGUUGUAGUGGGUGUAACGUACCUACUAGCCGACGACGGAUACGGGUUGUGAGAGCAAGAGCCCGGAGAUGGAUUCUGAGACACGAAUCCAGGCCCUACGGGGUGCAGCAGGCGCGAACAUUUUACAAUGCGGGAAACCGCGAUAAGGGAACCCCGAGUGCCAGCAUCAAAUGUUGGCUGUCCGGAUGAUUAAAAAUCAUUUGUUAGCAAGGGCCGGGCAAGACCGGUGCCAGCCGCCGCGGUAACACCGGCGGCCCGAGUGGUAGCCGUUUUUAUUGGGUCUAAAGGGUCCGUAGCCGGCUUGAUAAGUCCUUUGGGAAAUCUGGCAGCUUAACUGUCAGGCUUCUAAGGGAUACUGUCAGGCUUGGGACCGGAAGAGGUAAGGGGUACUCCAGGGGUAGGAGUGAAAUCUUGUAAUCCCUGGGGGACCAUCUGUGGCGAAGGCGCCUUACCAAAACGGGUCCGACGGUGAGGGACGAAAGCUAGGGGAGCAAACCGGAUUAGAUACCCGGGUAGUCCUAGCUGUAAACGAUGCUCGCUAGGUGUCAGACACGGUGCGACCGUGUUUGGUGCCGCAGGGAAGCCGUUAAGCGAGCCACCUGGGAAGUACGGUCGCAAGGCUGAAACUUAAAGGAAUUGGCGGGGGAGCACUACAACGGGUGGAGCCUGCGGUUUAAUUGGAUUCAACGCCGGAAAACUCACCGGGUGCGACAGCAAUAUGUAGGUCAGGCUGAAGGUCUUACCUGAAUCGCUGAGAGGAGGUGCAUGGCCGUCGUCAGUUCGUACUGUGAAGCAUCCUGUUAAGUCAGGCAACGAGCGAGACCCGCGCCCACAGUUGCCAGCAUGUUCUCCGGAACGAUGGGUACACUGUGGGGACCGCCGCUGCUAAAGCGGAGGAAGGAACGGGCUACGGUAGGUCAGUAUGCCCCGAAUCUCCCGGGCUACACGCGGGCUACAAUGGUUGGGACAAUGGGCACCUACCCUGAAAGGGACGGU